UACGUAGGGUGCAAGCGUUAAUCGGAAUUACUGGGCGUAAAGCGUGCGCAGGCGGUUUUGUAAGUCUGUCGUGAAAUCCCCCGGGCUCAACCUGGGAAUUGCGAUGGAGACUGCAAGGCUAGAAUCUGGCAGAGGGGGGGUAGAAUUCCACGUGUAGCAGUGAAAUGCGUAGAGAUGUGGAGGAACACCGAUGGCGAAGGCAGCCCCCUGGGCCUGCACUGACGC
rnacentral:rRNA from 1 species